rnacentral:rRNA from 1 species
AUACGUAGGGGGCGAGCGUUGUCCGGAAUGACUGGGCGUAAAGGGCGUGUAGGCGGCGGUGUAAGUCUGGAGUGAAAGUCCCGCAUUCAAUGUGGGAAUUGCUUUGGAUACUGCAGUGCUAGAGUGCGGAAGAGGUAAGUGGAAUUCCCAGUGUAGCGGUGACAUGCGUAGAGAUUGGGAGGAACACCAGUGGCGAAGGCGACUUACUGGGCCAUAACGGACGCUGAGUCGCGAUAGCGUGGGGAGCGAUCAGGAUUAGAUGCCCUGGCAGCCCACGCGGUGAACGAGGAAUGCAAGGUGUUGCGGGUAGCGACCCCUGCAGUGGCGGAGGAAACACAAAAAGCAUCCCGCCUUGGGAGUACGGCCGCAAUGUGGCGACUCAAAGGAAUUGACGGGG